rnacentral:rRNA from 1 species
UAGUCCACGCCGUAAACGAUGUCCACUAGCCGUUGGGAGGCAUGACCUCUUGGUGGCGCAGCUAACGCGAUAAGUGGACCGCCUGGGGAGUACGGCCGCAAGGUUAAAACUCAAAUGAAUUGACGGGGGCCCGCACAAGCGGUGGAGCAUGUGGUUUAAUUCGAUGCAACGCGAAGAACCUUACCUGCCCUUGACAUCCUCGGAACUUGUCAGAGAUGACUUGGUGCCUUCGGGAACCGAGUGACAGGUGCUGCAUGGCUGUCGUCGGCUCGUGUCGUGAGAUGUUGGGUUAAGUCCCGUAACGAGCGCAACCCUUGUCCUUAGUUGCCAGCGUGUAAUGGCGGGCACUUUAAGGAGACUGCCGGUGACAAACCGGAGGAAGGUGGGGACGACGUCAAGUCAUCAUGGCCCUUACGGGCAGGGCUACACACGUGCUACAAUGGCCGGUACAGAGGGCUGCGAAAGCGCGAGCCGGAGCCAAUCUCAGAAAACCGGUCGUAGUCCGGA